rnacentral:lncRNA from 11 species
UAUCAAUCUGAGCAUCUAAUUUUAGAUCAAGUCUAACUUUGCUUGGACUUUCAAUGAGGAAUGUUGAGUUAGUACCAAUAAUAAUAGAGGCUAGACUCAUUCUUUACUGCAGGCUUCCUAUAGGCAUCUAGUCAGCCCCUAUGUAAACAGCAUGUAGAAUAAAAUAGGUUUCCGGUCUGAUCACUCCUUUUAUUUACUGCUAUUUAAAAAUCUUUAGUCUGUUUGGCAAAGAAUUUAAAAACCUUUCACAAGUCCCCCUCCCUCUUUAUUAGAUUUUAAAAUCAUGAUUUCUUUAAAAAUGUUUGGCCAAAAUCAAAUGUUAAUUUCAUAUUGAUUUCAUAUUCUUUUUUUAUAGGUCUAGAGAGCUGAAGAAAAAACUUGUUUCCUAAAAGUGCUGUUGUUGAAAGAACAGAAGAUUUCCUUUGCUCUGAAGCAAGUGUCUGAAGGUGGUGGGGAUUUAGUAACCUGGAUAGUUUAAGAAAGUGGAGAAGUUAGAGAAUGGAGUUGCAGACUCUACAGGAGGCUCUGAAAGUGGAAAUUCAGGUUCACCAGAAACUGGUUGCCCAAAUGAAGCAAGAUCCACAGAAUGCUGAUUUGAAGAAGCAACUUCAUGAACUUCAAGCCAAAAUCACAGCUUUGAGUGAGAAACAGGUAGGAAAACUUGGCAUAUUUUUAACACAUGUUCUAAAGAUAUGUCUCCUCCAAGCUACCAAGACAACUGCUAAAUCUUUCCUUGUGUGAAAAUAAGUGUGGGCAGUCAUCGCUUUGGAUCUGGUUGGAUGCAUUUAGCAAAGCAAGGAAAUGUGUUCAACACACUAGUAAUGGAUAAAGCACAGUUUAUCUAGACCUAGAAACAGGCACUGACACUUCAACGAUUUAAGGUAGAUAAUUCUGUAAACCUCAUAGUAAUCUGAAUGUUUAAUUCACAUCCACACAGAUAAGAGUGUUUUUCCCCCACAGUCAUGUUUAGCCUUGCAGAAUUCAAACAGAUCUAAACAUAGAAAGCAAGCAUUGUACAACAUUGUCUCCUAGAAACAGAUAAAUUGCUGUGAGUAUCUGGAUGAGAAACAACCCAGACCACUGUCUAAACAGAAAGGAAGUGGAAAACAGCUAUCUUGAAACCCUUCCACUUGCAUCAGCAAAUAAGGUUGUGAAGUAUUCUGUUCAUGAAAGGAAGAAGACUCAUUCCGGCAACAUUGGCAUUUGGGAUUUUCUAAAAGAGGCAGAAUUCACAUGAGUUUAAAACCAUUGUUACCUCAUAUGCAUGAGGUUUGUUUGUAUACAGGCUUCCAAAUUACUUUGCUGUGGUAUUGCAUUCAUUUCGUAUUGCAGUAGGUUUACUACAUGGUGUAGCAGCUGCCUCCCUUGUAAUAGAUAUCUCUUAUAAGAAAUGUAUAAUAUAUAUAUGCCAUGUUUAAGAAGACCCCAAGUAAUGGCAACAGGAAGAUGUAAUUGGAAUGGGAGAAUCAGUCCUAAAACUAGGAGUGUAGUGUUUCAAAAGAAAUUUUCAACUGGGAGUUCUUCUCUUCCCUUUUUGCUACUACUGUUUAAGACAGAGUGUAGUUUUAGUCAGUUUGAAACACACAGAAGUACUUGUGGAUUAUUUUACAACUCAGAUUACUAGAAGAGAUGCUUCCCACCCAGCAUAUGGAUCUAUGCAGAACUCUCAGUGAUGGAAACCAGUCCAAAAUAGAGAAUGCAGAUCUUAGUACCGAGUCACCUGGAAUGAAGCUCACCAGGUGAUGUCGUGUUACGUACCCAUGAUACCAAAAUGCAUAAUGUCUCCCCAAACAUCUGAGCGGCAUGCCAGAUUCCUUUGACCUUUCCAGUUAAAUUUUCUAGUGGUGCUUGUAGGUUCUCAACAGUGAAGUUCAUCAAAAUACAUUUAUCAUCUGCCAUGACAGAUGAAAAGCUUACAUCAUUUGUUAUGAUACAGCAGGAUUACUCAAAAUCCUGAUCUCUCUGCCCUUGUACUACACUUUGCAGAAUCCAAAGCACAAAAAUCUAUGUUAUCAGAAGUGCAGAAGUGGGUUUUAUUUUUAUUUAUGGUAAGCAUUCUUUGAUUUAGAAUGUUCUUUACCAAUUGAAAUUAAAACAUGGAUAUUUUUACAGCUGUUCUGCCAAAUGCGACUGAUGCAAAACUUAAAUGUCAUUGGUCAUUUUGACAAGCUAGAUAGGUAUCAACCACAAUGAAUGUAGCAUUUGAAUUGAGAAUUGGAUUAAUUACUUGAA